rnacentral:rRNA from 1 species
UACGGGGGAUGCAAGCGUUAUCCGGAAUGAUUGGGCGUAAAGCGUCCGCAGGCGGCUGUGUAAGUCUGCUGUUAAAGAGUGAGGCUCAACCUCAUAAAGGCAGUGGAAACUACAUGGCUAGAGUGCGUUCGGGGCAGAGGGAAUUCCUGGUGUAGCGGUGAAAUGCGUAGAUAUCUGGAGGAACACCGGUGGCGAAGGCGGCAUCCUGGACCAAUACUGACGCUGAGGAGCGAAAGCCAGGGGAGCAAACGGG